rnacentral:rRNA from 1 species
CCUACGGGUGGCUGCAGUGGGGAAUAUUGCACAAUGGGCGCAAGCCUGAUGCAGCCAUGCCGCGUGUGUGAAGAAGGCCUUCGGGUUGUAAAGCACUUUCAGCGGGGAGGAAGGCGGUGAGGUUAAUAACCUCAUCGAUUGACGUUACCCGCAGAAGAAGCACCGGCUAACUCCGUGCCAGCAGCCGCGGUAAUACGGAGGGUGCAAGCGUUAAUCGGAAUUACUGGGCGUAAAGCGCACGCAGGCGGCCUGUCAAGUCGGAUGUGAAAUCCCCGGGCUCAACCUGGGAACUGCAUUCGAAACUGGCAGGCUAGAGUCUUGUAGAGGGGGGUAGAAUUCCAGGUGUAGCGGUGAAAUGCGUAGAGAUCUGGAGGAAUACCGGUGGCGAAGGCGGCCCCCUGGACAAAGACUGACGCUCAGGUGCGAAAGCGUGGGGAGCAAACAGGAUUAGAUACCCCUGUAGUC